rnacentral:rRNA from 1 species
GACGAAGGGGGCUAGCGUUGUUCGGAAUUACUGGGCGUAAAGCGAGUGUAGGUGGUUGUCCAAGUUGGAUGUGAAAGCCUUGAGCUCAACUCAAGAAAUGCAUUCAGGACUGGGCGGCUAGAGGACCGGAGAGGAUAGUGGAAUUCCCGGUGUAGUGGUGAAAUGCGUAGAUAUCGGGAGGAACACCAGUGGCGAAGGCGACUUCCUGGCCUGUUCUUGACGCUGAGGCGCGAAAGCUAGGGGAGCAAACGGG